UUCAAUAAAAUUCUUCAUAAAGUUCAAUAUUUCCAUGCAAUAUCAAUUUUACAAUUCAAAUUUCAAAUAAAACACUAUAAGACCCACUAGUGGGAAAUAUUUUAAUUCUUUUACAAUAUGCUUUUAAUUGUAAUUAUAAACCUUAAAUAAUAAAAAAAUUGCAAGAAAAAAUGUAUACAUAUUACAAAAUUACUCUUAAGCACCAUACAUUAUUAAAUUAUUUAAGAGAAUGCACUAUAAAAUUAGUAUUUAGGUAUAAAUCUCAUCCUACGCAUGAGGAAUGGGAGCUGGAUCACCUCUAUUAAAGUAUGGUGUAGGAUUCCACAUGCCAUAGUAAUCUUCCUGUAUUUCAGGUAGAGUCUUCCCUAUUGUCUCGUCUAGUCGAACCCCGUCCUCUUUCGGAAGUGAUGCCGGGGACAGUGUGACUGGACCCUCGUCCUCGGGAUGUGGAUUUAGUCGAACCCCGUCCUCAUCUGGAAGUGACAUCGGGGAUGUUGACGCCAGAGGCGAUGGCAUUGGCCAUUCCGCAAUUGAUAAUGAACCUCUAACAACUGAAAACUUGAUUAUUAGUAGAAGUAUAGUUAUUGUACAUGAAAUGUGCAUGAUUGACCUCAUUUCUAAGUUNNN
rnacentral:lncRNA from 1 species